ACGUCUUUCGUAAUCCCUAGGCCUCAGGGAAAGAUAGUCGAGUUUCUUUCUUGUACUAAGCAAAUUAAUAAAAUCCUACAGCUUGUAGGAAAUGUCGUUUGACGUGUAACGAUUCAUGCAAAAUUUUUAUACAAAUAUUUUACAAACAAAUAUUUGCAUAACUAUAACAAGUGUCGCUGUGUGGAUGUUGUUCACCGAAUUUAAACUCCAUAAAAUAAAAGUCGCAAGCGAUUGUUACAUUCUUAACGAACGUUAAAGUGGCCGUGGAAGAGUUAAAAAGUCCUUUUCCUUUUUUGAUUUGAUCCACAAGGUCAUUUUGUCCGUGGUGGUGAAAUAACAAAGCAGACAACAAGCGGUAAAUAGAGAAUAAUUGUUUUUACAAAACGCCCACCGUAGAGCUCGUAUUAAAUGCGCAAAAUGUGGUGAUUUAAAUGACAAUGCAAUUUGCAAGAAUGGCCAUUUCUACUUUUAGAAAAACUAUAAAAGUAUUCAAUACAUCUUCAAUUGUAAUCUAUAGCUAUCGAGUUUCACCAGGGACCGUAUUCAAAUGAAAAAAAAGAAAUUUUCACAUAGUCAUAACAAAUAAACAAAAUCUCACAAUGAGA